rnacentral:rRNA from 1 species
GGGUCAGUAGGUUGGUCGUGCCACCGGUACGUACUGGUCUCACUGAUCCCUCCUUCCUGAAGAACCGUAAUGCCAUUAAUUUGGUGUUGCGGGGAAACAGGACUGUUACUUUGAAGAAAUUAGAGUGUUUAAAGCAAGCUAACGCUUGAAUACAUUAGCAUGGAAUAAUGAAAUAGGACGAUCGAUCCUAUUUUGUUGGUUUCUAGGAUUGACGUA